GGAAUAUUGCGCAAUGGCCGAAAGGCUGACGCAGCGACGCCGCGUGUGGGAUGAAGCUCUUCGGGGUGUACACCACUGUUGCCCGGGACGAACUUCGGGAUUGUUCCCGAUGUACGGUACCGGGGGAGGAAGCACCGGCGCACGCCGUGCCAGCAGCCGCGGUAAUCCGGAGGGUGCGAGCGUUGUCCGGAAUCACUGGGCGUAAAGGGCGCGUAGGUGGCUUGGUAAGCGUGUGGUGAAAGCCCGGGGCUCAACCCCGGGUCUGCCGUGCGAACUGCCAUGGCUAGAGUACUGUAGAGGCAGGUUGAAUUCCGGGUGUAGCGGUGGAAUGCGUAGAGAUCCGGAAGAAUACCGGUGGCGAAGGCGGCCUGCUGGGCAGUUACUGACACUGAGGCGCGACAGCGUGGGGAGCAAA
rnacentral:rRNA from 1 species